GUCCCAGUUCGGAUUGCAGUCUGCAACUCGAGUGCAUGAAGCUGGAAUCGCUAGUAAUCGCGGAUCAGAAUGCCGCGGUGAAUACGUUCCCGGGUCUUGUACACACCGCCCGUCACACCAUGGGAGUCGGGAAUGCCCGAAGCCGGUGGCCCAAUCGAAAGAAGGGAGCCGUCGAAGGCAGGCCGGAUGACUGGGGUGAAGUCGUAACAAGGUAGC
rnacentral:rRNA from 1 species